CCGCGGUUGGAGAACGCUCGGGAGUCGCAGCCAGACCCGCCCUUCCGACAGAGAUGGCUUUGCCUCGGCUUUCGGGAGCUCAGGCAGGAGGGCAGCUUCCGGGAAAGGCGGGGUGUCGGCCCCGGCUCCGGGGAAGAAAGUUUCUGAAAUAAGACGUUCAGGAAGAGUUUCUCUGAAACGAACCCUCCCACUGCAUAAGCGAGCCUCCUUGAGGACUUCUUCAGGCAAGAAUGACCACAGCAGUGAGGAGGGCUGUGUCCCAACACCCCCGGAUCCUUCAGAAGCAGGACAGGAUUUUGACCAUGAACGUGGAAGCAGAGGACCAGUCAUAGGGGAAAGAGACCAUGGCUGCCAGAUGGUGGCCCGAAGAGUAAGGACGAGGUGUUCGGCUCAGGUCAGGAACUUGCUGGAAGAAGAUCCCACGGUGACUCUUCACAGGUACCAGAGCUGGGAGACGCCUCAGAAUGCUCCAGUACCUUAGAUCAGCAUUAGGGAACCUCCAGAUGGGAGGCCAAGCAGCUGCCCUGCCCAAGAGAAGAGUUUCAAGCAGGAGAGAGAAGUAGCAGCCAUGACAGUGAUGAAAGUGACCCAAACUGGAGGCCAGACUUGAGGAGGCUCUGUGAGGAAGAAGCUCGUCCCAUCCUCGGUAUUCUCCGUGGCUCCUCCGAGCGCUGCAGGACUUGGGGUGGAGGCUGGCCGUGGCUGCGGACACCGCGGGUCCAGGCGGAAGGACAAGCGCUUCAGCGCAGCUGCGGCCGGAGACGUGCCUGUGACUGAAGACGGGGCCUGCCUUCUCCCGGACGGCUGCCCGCCGUGCCUUCCGGCUCAUGAAGGAGGAAGGUGAUCUCGUCCUUGCUGCCACCCCUUCCCCCUGACCCACCCCCCCCCCAACACCAGGCAGCCUCGCCAGAUUCGCCCUGAUACCAGAGGCUGGCAACAACCUCCUCCCCACUGUGUCAGCUGCCGCCUGGCGGUGCCGUUGGGGAGGGCGAGGCAGGGAGCAAGCAAGGGAUAGGUACUGUUGCAGGGCUGUCCACGCACGUCCUGGCUGAUGUAGGGACCACCCUUCCCAUGAACUUGAGGCUCUUGGAGGGCAGGGCCUAUGUCUGAAGCAUCUCUGUGUUCACAGUGCCUGGCUUAGCACCUGGCGUGGAGCAGGGGGUGCUCCCGUAGUUACCGGCAGCCAGGGAGUUCACGGAGGUAACGGGGAGAACGGGUGUUGGUGACCGACCUGAAGUACCCGUCCCUGUCCCCCAGCCCUGUUUGGCGUAUGGCAAAGGCCUGGGUUCUGAGGACAGAACGCAUACGGCGCCCCUUGCCUUUCGUUAUCCACAGAGUCCCCGUCUCCCCCGUGAACAAGGGACAAACCUCAUGUAUGCAGGGUUUUGCAUAGCUGUGGAGGUGGUCUCUGCUUUCUUUUAAAGCUAAUAAGUUAGAAAUGGUGUUGGCCAGAUCGUGAGAGCUAGUCCCGAUGCUGGCAGCGCCCCGGGACCCACGCCUCCUGGGAGCUGGGGGCUGCUUCUAGACUGCUGAACCCUGAAGCCGGUGGAGAUGCGAGCAUGUCCCUGAGGGUUAAGGAGAGAAGGCAAAAGAAAGCUAGGGCCCUUGGCAGCUGCCUCUUUAUCUGCUUGCCGAGGGCCUCUGGGCUCACGCAAUGAUCUCUGGGCAGGAGUGCAGCUGACCCCAGGGGUCUCUGCUCCAGGCUUGGAAGCUUGGAAAGUCAUUUUCAGUAUUUACAGUGGGUCUCUGGAAUACUCUCUCACAGUGCUCCCCUGAUGGCCAUCCCAACACCCCACUGAAUAGAAAUUCGUACAGACAGGUAGAAGGCGUGGAAAUGGCUAAUCAAGUGAAGGCGUUGGGGGAACAGGGCGCUGGAGGGGCAGCCUCUGAGCUCGGCACUCCUAGCCAACUGGCAAGGCUGCUCCAGAAGCUUCUAGAAAACGGCUCAAGAAAUCAGGUCUGGAAGGAAAGCCGUAAAGGGCUUCGUGAUAUAUAAAGGCACCCCCUUUCCCUGCUGCCUCCCACCCUGUGCAGGACACCCAUAGAGCCCUGCUUCUAGAAAGGCCAACCCAGGCCCUCGGUUGCUCGCUCAGCACCGGUUCUCCCCAUUGGGGCCCUGAGCCUCUCUGCCCGUGUGUGAUGCUCUCACCGUAGCAGCAGCCAUGCUGCCAAGGGCUUCAGGCCCAUCUCAUGACCCCCCCCUACAGCCCUGGAAAAUAGGAUGCUCCUGUCCUGGUGCUAGAAUGAUUAAAGGAACUUGGGUUAAAUAACUCACCCAACAGCAUGCAGCUGCCAAGCGGAGGCGCAGGGGCUCAGUGCUGGAAGGUUUCGUGUGGCCCAUCGCGGGAUUGUUCCUUGCGUCGCCGGAAUUGCCAGCCCACUUUCUGCCUCUGUUGUGUGGCUGCGUCAAAGUGGCCUCCUUCCACAAUCCCUUCUGCAGCCUGUCAUAGCUACAAAAUAGUUUCUAAGAGACCAAGUCUAGUAGGCACCGAACCUCCCGAUGCCGGUGAUGGUCACGUUCAUGAGAGACCUCCCGCUUCCUGCCAGCAGCCACUGGAAUUUCUGUUGUGGCAACUCGGGGAGCCGCUCAAGUCACGGCAGAUGCAGAAAUCUAUGAUUCUGCUCGCGAUCCUGCAAGUCAGGGAAGUGGGUCGAGUGGAACAGGAACGAGUUAGGUCUGCUGCGCCGUGUCUGGGCCUCAGCUGGAGUGGCCCAGGGGCUGGAUUUGGCUAAGAUGGUUGGACUGUGGCCAGAGUUCAGGGCCUUGGUUCUAUGUGCCAGCUGGCUUCCUCCACUUCAUGGGGCAUCUGCUGAAAUGGGGCUGAGAUGCCCAAAACGGCUUUUACACUCAUGUGUCCGGUGCUUCCGUGUUCUCCCGGUGGCCUCUCUCUUCACAGAGUGACUUAAUCUGAUCCGUGCUCUUUGUUGCCACAGAACGUGCCUUGCCCCAAGCCCCUACUGCAGGGAUGCUGCCGCUGGGGGCUGUGUUGUACCACAUGACCCUGCGUCCUCCCCCCUCCCUCCCCCCAGGAGGACCAGGACCCAGUAGAGCUGCCCAAUCACUUUUGAAGUCCCCUGGCUGGCUCAAAAAUUCGAGGGAUGCCAGUCAGACCAGUCAGAUUCCCCUUUGAGGCCAUUUGAACCAAAAAAUCAGACAGCGGCACAGCGCAUGACAGGAUGUCGUGAGGGCCAGUAGGGCCCGGAUGGACCAGUCUGCUGGCCAGGAUUAAACUGAAGAAGAAACUCAGGAGAUAGAAGAGAAACAGGCCAUGAAGUGAGAGAACAUACUGAGCGAGGAGGGAACCGUGAGCCUUUUACUGGCAAGGGGAGAAAGGAGGGAAUGGCGAGAGCAGAGCUGAGGCCUGUAAGAGGCCGAGGAGGAAGCCAGUCCCGGGGCCCAGCCUGGCCAUGGGUGUCAUGGCAGCAAGCCUGUUUAUUCCCUUGGCUGUCAGGUGGCUUUGAAGUGGGCAUGUGACCUGGUCCUAAGAAUACAAAUUAUAACAAAGUGGCUCGAGAACCUUCUGGGAAGAGCUUUGCUUUUUGAUUAAAGGGAGGAGGCCUGUCCCUCCAUCCGGCUUUGAACAUGGAUGUCGGAGGACAUGAUAUUUAAGACUGUAGCCACCAUCUUGAGACCUAGAGGCAACCAGACCCAAGGAAAAAGCCAACAUACCAAGGUUGGCCUAGAGGACAGACAGAGCCUGGGUCCCUGAUGAUAUCGUUGAGCCACUAUACCUAUCCUGGAACCACCAAUUUCCAGUCUUAUUGAUAUAUUAAUUAGAUGCCCUUAUUUUCUAAGCAGAUUUCUGCUAUUUGAAACUAAGGCAUUCUUAACCAAUAUGGCAUUCUUCUGAACCUGCCCAUCAUCAACUCCUUAGAGCCCCAUAGUUGAGAUACAAAUGGAAACCUACCCCAAACUUAGCCAGUGGAAAUCUUAAUUUCCAUGGUAGGAAAUACAGGUCAAGAUUUCUCACAGCCUACAGAGCAGUUCCAGCACUUCGUCCCAAAUCCCAGGGCCUGUUGGACACAAAUGAGGAAAGAUAGACUCAGGAAAGUUCUAGAUACAUGGAGACGAGUCUUCUAAAAUGGGGCUCAGUGAUGAAUUUGUGGAUGAACAAGUUCAGUGGAGGGGGAGGGGGAGAGCCUAAGCAUGGGCCAGGAAGCCAUGGAAAGCACACGGAGCAGCGAGCUGGAACGGGCAGAUGGUGGAGGGUCAGAUGGCUUCUGCAGGAGACCAUGGUGCACAGCAGGGUUUUCUAAGUGCCGGGCACUAGCUGGGAGGGGCUAUGGCAACUGGAGCUAAACCGGGGAAACUAGGCUUUAGUGAACCCUCCAGCUACUCCUAGAGGCAUUUUAGAUCCUCUGAGGAACAAGGUGGCCUGAAUUGUGGCCGUUCGCCCUCUGUGCAGGCGCCCCCCUAACCACCACACUCUUCACUCUCUCUUCUCCACCUGUCCCUUUUUCUCCACCACUUCUUCCUGUCUUCUCAGCAAAGCCAGGAGCCAGAAAUGCACAAGGUCUGAAUCUCUUCUGCCUCAGCUGGAGAGUAAAGAAAGCGGAAGGCAAUGUCUUUAGGAAACACUGAAGCCUCGUCUGGGGAUAAUCCGGGUUAGCCCAGGAGAAAGGCAGCAGUGGGCUGCUAAGGACUAGAUGAAGCCCCAGCCCUGAUCAAGCUGUGGGGACAGGGACGGGGGCGGGGCGUGCUUCUUCAGUAACACCACAGAAAAUGUGUGGUCCUUCCUUCCCUCAUGAAAUGAGAAGUUAAACUCAAGAACUCUUGGCCUUCCUCUUUCGAUUUCCGGUUUCAGACACACAACAAAGAUACACUGGCACCCUCCUCCCACAGUCAGAACUUGAGAGAAGUCACCCACAGGUCAUCAGUAGUAAAGAUUGGCCCCUGGAAGGCCAUCAAAUGAGUGGGGCGCAAACACAGAUAUGUUGCAAUGACAUUCGAAUUGGUGACCAGCAGAUUCUGCCACUAAGCCUCGUGCCCUCUGCGUGUUGCAGGGGUCCUCCCUGCCCAGGGGCCCAAACCAAGCCAACCCUUUUGUUUGCCUGCUGGGUUACUUCAUUUUGCAGAAGUGUAUAGAAUACCUUGUAGAAUUAUAAGCCAAGCAUAUAAAAGCCAUGAUACUAUUAGGAAGAUAAGUCACUAAAGACAAAAGCAAAACAAAACAAAAUUCCUGACAUAGAGAAAAGAAUGAAAGUGCUAGGGUGGAUGAAGCAAAAAGUUUAACCUCCUCCUUUGAUGUGAUUGCUGCUUCAAUGUGAUAUACUUAGUAAGCCCUGGCUCCUCCCCCCUCCCCCAAGUUGUCCCAUACAUUGCAAGGGUUUCUCUGAAUCCAAUAAGGAAGAGAACCAAAGGCUUUUCUUCUCUCUUGGUAAUCAAGGUUUUUUUCUUCAGUAUGAAUUAGCCUGAUUACAGAUUAAACACUCUCCCACAGUCUGUGCGACACGAGAGUGUCUUUCCCGUGAAUUCUCCAGUGACGAGAAAAGGCUGCACGAUCCCCAAGCGAUUUUCCACAUUGAUUAUACUCACCGGCUUCUCCCGAGGAUGAGUGAUCUUGUGUUCAAUACGCUCCAAGCUUUGCCCUAGUCAUUGCACGUGACUGGCUCAUGUCCCCACUAAGUUAGCUGACGUUGUCUAAGGCUGGAACCCGGGCUGAAGGCUCUCCCUCACCAAUUAUGCCCACAGAGCACCUCCCUGCUCUGAGAUCCCAGAUGUCUAAUUAGCUCUGAGCACCGUCAAAGCAUUUUCACAGCCAUUAUAUGCAUGUGGUUUUUCUCCAGUGUGAAUUCUCUGACGUUGAAUGAGCUCUGCUUCCCUGAAAGCCCUCACAUUUAUUGCAUCUGUAGAGUUCCUGUUCCUUGUGAAUGAGCUGAUUCCGUGUGGUACUAAAAUGCUGGCAGAUGCCCCCCCAAAUCAGGAUUCUCUGUAAGAGGAAUGUUCCAGUGUUUAGUAGGACGGGAGCCCCGCCCCUGUACCUCGCCCCCCGUAAAAAUUGCCUGUAUUCAUAACAUGUUCUCUCUAAUACAGAUACUGUAUUACUGAAUAAAUUCUGACCUCUGUUCUAA